AAAGAAAAAAGGCCCGAGCAGUUGGGGCGCUCGGGCUUAGGGGAAGGGCUCAACGGGAUUGAGCCUUUUGCGCUAACUUGACUUGAAACUAAACAAGUUAAGUAAACUAAUAUUAGUACAUAGUUAGCGCUUUUUAGGAUU
rnacentral:sRNA from 1 species